rnacentral:rRNA from 1 species
UACAGAGGUCCCAAGCGUUAUUCGGAUUCACUGGGCGUAAAGGGUGCGUAGGCGGUCGGGUAAGUCUGAUGUGAAAUCUCACAGCUUAACUGUGAAACUGCAUUGGAUACUAUCCGGCUAGAGGAAUGGAGGGGAGACUGGAAUACUUGGUGUAGCAGUGAAAUGCGUAGAUAUCAAGUGGAACACCAGUGGCGAAGGCGAGUCUCUGGACAUUUCCUGACGCUGAGGCACGAAAGCCAGGGGAGCAAACGGG